rnacentral:rRNA from 1 species
AGUACGGCGGAACACGAGAAAUUCCGUCGGAAUCCGCGGGGACCAUCCCGCAAGGCUAAAUACUCCCUAGUGACCGAUAGUGAACCAGUACCGUGAGGGAAAGGUGAAAAGCACCCCGGAAGGGGAGUGAAAUAGAUCCUGAAACCGUGUGCCUACAACAAGUCAAAGCUCGUUAAUGAGUGAUGGCGUGCCUUUUGUAGAAUGAACCGGCGAGUUACGAUUGCAUGCGAGGUUAAGUCGAAGAGACGGAGCCGCAGCGAAAGCGAGUCUGAAUAGGGCGAAUGAGUAUGUAGUCGUAGACCCGAAACCAUGUGAUCUACCCAUGUCCAGGUUG